UUCAGACAAAGCAGGCUUGCAAAGAGCCAAGGGAAAAACCAUCUGGCCUUGGCACAGGGGUGUCUGUAGAAGCCCUGAAGCUGCUGAGCAUCACAUUUCUGCUGUGCUCUCUGACUUGCCUCUUGCUGGAGACUGUUGCUUCCUCUGUGUCACUGCCACAACACUCAGUGGGUGUGUUUGCCGUUAUGAUGAAAGUUCCGGCCUCCAUAGGACCUAAGAUUCCCAUCGAAGAAAAUUCCAGGUCCUGGCUGAGCAACUUCAAGGAUUAUCUCUGCAAUCUCAUCAGGAGCCACAUCCCUCCAGCAGCCAUUUUUAUUUUUCUUAUUAUGUCAGCAGUGCUGGGGAUCCUCUGCUGCCUCACGUAAGCUUCUGGAAGAGGAGGGAAGGGAGGG
ensembl:lncRNA